AUUGAACGCUGGCGGCAGGCCUAACACAUGCAAGUCGAACGGUAACAGGAAGAAGCUUGCUUCUUUGCUGACGAGUGGCGGACGGGUGAGUAAUGUCUGGGAAACUGCCUGAUGGAGGGGGAUAACUACUGGAAACGGUAGCUAAUACCGCAUAAUGUCGCAAGACCAAAGAGGGGGACCUUCGGGCCUCUUGCCAUCGGAUGUGCCCAGAUGGGAUUAGCUAGUAGGUGGGGUAACGGCUCACCUAGGCGACGAUCCCUAGCUGGUCUGAGAGGAUGACCAGCCACACUGGAACUGAGACACGGUCCAGACUCCUACGGGAGGCAGCAGUGGGGAAUAUUGCACAAUGGGCGCAAGCCUGAUGCAGCUAUGCCGCGUGUAUGAAGAAGGCCUUCGGGUUGUAAAGUACUUUCAGCGGGGAGGAAGGGAGUAAAGUUAAUACCUUUGCUCAUUGACGUUACCCUCAGAAGAAGCACCGGCUAACUCCGUG
rnacentral:rRNA from 1 species